UAGGGAAUAUUAGUAAUGGGCGAAAGCCUGAACUAGCAACGCCGCGUGUGCGAAGAAGGCCUUCGGGUUGUAAAGCACUUUUUGAGAGGAUGAGGAAGGACGGUACUCUCAGAAUAAGUCUCGGCUAACUACGUGCCAGCAGCCGCGGUAACACGUAGGAGGCGAACGUUAUCCGGAUUUACUGGGCGUAAAGCGCGUGUAGGUGGUUUGGUAAGUAGGGCGUGGAAGCUCCUGGCUCAACUGGGAGAGACGGUUCUAAACUGC
rnacentral:rRNA from 1 species